AAAAAGGCUGUUUUCACAGCCCUCAAAAGAUAAUCACAUAUUUCCG
rfam:Anaerovibrio sp. JC8 JC8_003, whole genome shotgun sequence.